AUUGAACGCUGGCGGCAUGCUUUACACAUGCAAGUCGAACGGCAGCGCGGGGGCAACCCUGGCGGCGAGUGGCGAACGGGUGAGUAAUGCAUCGGAACGUAUCCUGUAAUGGGGGAUAACGUAGCGAAAGUUACGCUAAUACCGCAUACGCUCGAGAGAGGAAAGUGGGGAUCGCAAGACCUCACGUUAUAGGAGCGGCCGAUGUCCGAUUAGCUAGUUGGUGGGGUAAAGGCCUACCAAGGCGACGAUCGGUAGCUGGUCUGAGAGGAUGAUCAGCCACACUGGGACUGAGACACGGCCCAGACUCCUACGGGAGGCAGCAGUGGGGAAUUUUGGACAAUGGGCGAAAGCCUGAUCCAGCCAUGCCGCGUGCGGGAAGAUGGCCCUCGGGUUGUAAAGCUCUUUUGUCCGGAAAGAAAGCGCCGGGUUAAUACCCGUGGUGUCCUGACGGUACCGGAAGAGUAAGCACCGGCUAACGUUCGUGCCAGCAGCCGCGGUAA
rnacentral:rRNA from 1 species